AAGCUGUUCUGUCGCCAUGUCUACCAAUGGCCUCGAGUUAAACGGGGCCAUUGACGGAGAUGCGGUGUGGAGCGCUCCGGUACUGCCGCUGGAGUCUCAGGAUUCCAUGAGCGCUGUGAAUGUGGUGGCGGUCGCCGCCGGCGAGCGACAGGCCGUGGGAAAGAAAGCCACAUAUGACGUUUGCUCCGAAGCGAAGGUUAGUCAGGGGGGCACCAUUGCAUAACAAUUUUUUCGUCGUCUAUUUGGCGAUUGUUUAGCACGAACCUUGAUUUGUUCUGCCAGACUAUGACUAUAUUGCUUGAUCCGGCGGUUAGUACGCCUUCGUUGGAUUGCUGUGCAGUAUAGAUGACGGUUGGUUUAGUUGUGAGAUAUUGAUAUGAGAAAGUAACAUGUAUUUGCUGUCUAAUUAGGGACAUGUGGUGGAAGACUUGUGCAAGCUUAAGUUGGAUCUGUUUUGUUCGGGGAA